UGAGGGUUUGAUCCUGGCUCAGGACGAACGCUGGCGGCGCGCCUUACGCAUGCAAGUCGCACGGACCUUCGGGUUAGUGGCGGACGGCUGAGUAACGCGUAGGUAACCUGUCCAGUGGUGGGGGAUAACCCUUCGAAAGAAGGGCUAAUACCGCAUAGGUUCCGGGAGUGAGACCCUCCCGGAGCAAAGCCGCAAGGCGCCACCGGAGGGGCCUGCGUCCUAUCAGGUUGUUGGUGAGGUAACGGCCCACCAAGCCUGUGACGGGUAGCUGGUCUGAGAGGACGACCAGCCAGAAGGGGACUGAGACACGGCCCCUACUCCUACGGGAGGCAGCAGCGAGGAAUCUUGGGCAAUGGGCGAAAGCCUGACCCAGCGACGCCGCGUGGAGGAUGAAGGCCUUCGGGUUG
rnacentral:rRNA from 1 species